rnacentral:tRNA from 1 species
GUGGCUGUAGCUCAGUUGGUUAGAGCGCCGGAUUGUGAUUCCGGAGGUCGCGGGUUCAAUUCCCGUCAGCCACCCCA